rnacentral:misc_RNA from 1 species
UACGUAGGUGGCAAGCGUUGUCCGGAAUCAUUGGGCGUAAAGCGCGCGCAGGCGGUCCCUUAAGUCUGAUGUGAAAGCCCACGGCUCAACCGUGGAGGGUCAUUGGAAACUGGGGGACUUGAGUGCAGAAGAGGAAAGCGGAAUUCCAAGUGUAGCGGUGAAAUGCGUAGAGAUUUGGAGGAACACCAGUGGCGAAGGCGGCUUUCUGGCCUACAACUGACGCUGAGGCGCGAAAGCGUGGGGAGCAAACAGG